UACGAAGGGGGCUAGCGUUGCUCGGAAUCACUGGGCGUAAAGAGCGCGCAGGCGGUCGGAUAAGUCGAAUGUGAAAGCCCCCGGCUCAACUGGGGAGAGUCAUUCGAUACUGUUCGACUCGAAGGCAGGAGAGGGAAGUGGAAUUCCCGGUGUAGUGGUGAAAUGCGUAGAUAUCGGGAGGAACACCAGUGGCGAAGGCGACUUCCUGGCCUGUUCUUGACGCUGAGGCGCGAAAGCUAGGGGAGCAAACGGG
rnacentral:rRNA from 1 species